AAAUAGCCGCUCAGGUCAUCUAUUCUCUGACAAGCCAACUCUCAGAAACAGCAAAGACAGGCUACACUUCAUCAUUGAGUGUGGGGAAUUGCAGGCUGGUAUUCAGUUGAGCUGAUGUCUGAACCCCGAUGGUCAUAAUUCACCUACAUGACAUGAUAGGCAUUCCCUCAUGUUCCUGGAACUCCAGCUUCUGCCUAAGGUAACACCUCCCACAGCCCCCACAAGAGAAACAUGGGAAGGAAAUUUUGCUGGCUGCUAGUUCUUUUGUGUCAAAGAAAAAGGAAGCUACAAGAGAAGAUAUUUGGACAUUGAUGCUGAAGAUAUAUAGACAUGUUCAAUGAAAAGAAGAAUCAAAAUAAAUUAAAUUGUUUCUGAAUUG
rnacentral:lncRNA from 1 species